UACGAAGGUGGCAACCGUUGCUCGGAAUUACUGGGCGUAAAGGGUGCGCAGGCGGUCUUGUAAGUCAGAUGUGAAAUCCCCGGGCUCAACCUGGGAACUGCGUUUGAAACUACAAGACUAGAGUGUAGCAGAGGGGGGUGGAAUUCCACGUGUAGCAGUGAAAUGCGUAGAGAUGUGGAAGAACACCGAUGGCGAAGGCAGCCCCCUGGGUUAACACUGACGCUCAGGCACGAAAGCGUGGGGAGCAAAC
rnacentral:rRNA from 1 species